rnacentral:rRNA from 1 species
GAUGAACGCUGGCGGCGUGCCUAAUACAUGCAAGUCGAGCGAACGGACGAGAAGCUUGCUUUUCUGAUUUUAUCGGCGGACGGGUGAGUAACACGUGGAUAACCUACCUAUAAGACUGGGAUAACUUCGGGAAACCGUAGCUAAUACCGGAUAAUAUUUUGAACCUCAUGGUUCAAAAGUUAAAGACGGUCUUGCUUUCACUUAUAGAUUGAUCCGCGCUGCAUUAGCUAGUUGGUAAGGUAACGGCUUACCAAGGCAACGAUGCAUAGCCGACCUGAGAGGGUGGUCGAACAGACUGGAAGUGAGGAGCGGUACAGACACCUACGGGAGGAAGCAGUAGGGAAUCUUACGGAAGGGGGGAAAGCCUGACGGAGCAAAGCCGCGGGAAGGAUGAAGGACUAAGGAUGGUAGAACUCUGUUAUUAGGGAAGAACAUAUGUGUAAGUAACUGUGAACAUCUUGACGGUACCUAAUCAGAAAGCCACGGCUAACUACGUG